rnacentral:rRNA from 1 species
GACGAACGCUGGCGGCGUGCUUAACACAUGCAAGUCGAACGGAAAGGCCCUGCUUUUGUGGGGUGCUCGAGUGGCGAACGGGUGAGUAACACGUGAGUAACCUGCCCUUGACUUUGGGAUAACUUCAGGAAACUGGGGCUAAUACCGGAUAGGAGCUCCUGCUGCAUGGUGGGGGUUGGAAAGUUUCGGCGGUUGGGGAUGGACUCGCGGCUUAUCAGCUUGUUGGUGGGGUAGUGGCUUACCAAGGCUUUGACGGGUAGCCGGCCUGAGAGGGUGACCGGCCACAUUGGGACUGAGAUACGGCCCAGACUCCUACGGGAGGCAGCAGUGGGGAAUAUUGCACAAUGGGCGGAAGCCUGAUGCAGCAACGCCGCGUGCGGGAUGACGGCCUUCGGGUUGUAAACCGCUUUCGCCUGUGACGAAGCGUGAGUGACGGUAAUGGGUAAAGAAGCACCGGCUAACUACGUGCCAGCAGCCGCGGUGAUACGUAGGGUGCGAGCGUUGUCCGGAUUUAUUGGGCGUAAAGGGCUCGUAGGUGGUUGAUCGCGUCGGAAGUGUAAUCUUGGGGCUUAACCCUGAGCGUGCUUUCGAUACGGGUUGACUUGAGGAAGGUAGGGGAGAAUGGAAUUCCUGGUGGGGCGGUGGAAUGCGCAGAUAUCAGGAGGAACACCAGUGGCGAAGGCGGUUCUCUGGGCCUUUCCUGACGCUGAGGAGCGAAAGCGUGGGGAGCGAACAGGCUUAGAUACCCUGGUAGUCCACGCUGUAAACGGUGGGUACUAGGUGUGGGGUCCAUUCCACGGGUUCCGUGCCGUAGCUAACGCUUUAAGUACCCCGCCUGGGGAGUACGGCCGCAAGGCUAAAACUCAAAGGAAUUGACGGGGCCCCGCACAAGCGGCGGAGCAUGCGGAUUAAUUCGAUGCAACGCGUAGAACCUUACCUGGGUUUGACAUGGAUCGGGAGCGCUCAGAGAUGGGUGUGCCUCUUUUGGGGUCGGUUCACAGGUGGUGCAUGGCUGUCGUCAGCUCGUGUCGUGAGAUGUUGGGUUAAGUCCCGCAACGAGCGCAACCCUUGUUCACUGUUGCCAGCACGUUAUGGUGGGGACUCAGUGGAGACCGCCGGGGUCAACUCGGAGGAAGGUGGGGAUGACGUCAAGUCAUCAUGCCCCUUAUGUCCAGGGCUUCACGCAUGCUACAAUGGCUGGUACAGAGAGUGGCGAGCCUGUGAGGGUGAGCGAAUCUCGGAAAGCCGGUCUCAGUUCGGAUUGGGGUCUGCAACUCGACCUCAUGAAGUCGGAGUCGCUAGUAAUCGCAGAUCAGCAACGCUGCGGUGAAUACGUUCCCGGG